GACGAACGCUGGCGGCGUGCUUAACACAUGCAAGUCGAACGGAAAGGCCCUGCUUUUGUGGGGUGCUCGAGUGGCGAACGGGUGAGUAACACGUGAGUAACCUGCCCUUGACUUUGGGAUAACUUCAGGAAACUGGGGCUAAUACCGGAUAGGAGCUCCUGCUGCAUGGUGGGGGUUGGAAAGUUUCGGUGGUUGGGGAUGGACUCGCGGCUUAUCAGCUUGUUGGUGGGGUAGUGGCUUACCAAGGCUUUGACGGGUAGCCGGCCUGAGAGGGUGACCGGCCACAUUGGGACUGAGAUACGGCCCAGACUCCUACGGGAGGCAGCAGUGGGGAAUAUUGCACAAUGGGCGGAAGCCUGAUGCGGCAACGCCGCGUGCGGGAUGACGGCCUUCGGGUUGUAAACCGCUUUCGCCUGUGACGAAGCGUGAGUGACGGUAAUGGGUAAAGAAGCACCGGCUAACUACGUG
rnacentral:rRNA from 1 species